CCCCUCCAGGAGCACAACUCUGAGCUGUCAUUCCUGUCAACCAGAUGGGAGAUCAGCCACAAAGCUGCUCCGCCUCUCGCAAGGACAGGAACUCUUGUGGCAGGCAGGCUUUCGGGGCGGCUCCAAGAGGGAGUGAGUGAGUCUGGGCCUCUUAGUCGCUGUGGUCAUGGUAAGGGAAAGUGACCUGUUUGUCACCAGGUUUCCCUUGGAAGUCCCCCACCCUCAGGCCUGGCUCCUCGCACUUCCCCUUUUGGUCCCUUCUGCUCUCACAGCUUCACUGCAGCCAGCGUGGAGCAGGAUGCUGACAGCAGAGUGGCUCCAGUGAGCUGCCAUUCCAGAUGUCAGGAACAAGCUCACAGACUGAGUGAAGCCAAGAAGGAUUGCAAACACCAGUGAGAAAGGGCUGGGAGACAACAGUGACGGAGAAGAGGAGCAGGCUUUCAGGCGAUAAGGUGGCUGUGAACUGCUUUGAAAUGAGGACAGGCCUCCUGGGAGGAGGGAAGAAUGCACCGAAGCAUGCACUGAUGAAAGUUUCUAUCCAAAGACUCAGAGCCACACUGCUCUUCAUGGAAUGGGGCUGUAUCCUGGCUCAACAACCACAGCAUUUUCACACUUAACAAAAGAAAAGGUGUGUCAAAAUCCAGUAUGCCACCAACUGCGGAAUAUAAACGCCCUUUCUACUUUUUUUAAGUUUACAACAAAUUCGUAAAGCAAAGAGGCUUUUUUAUUUCAUGUUUGUCAAUAAACCUGGCAAUAGAAAUACCAAUUUGAACAGCAAUUUUCCUGCUGGUCUGAGCUGAAAUUAGCUAUGGAUGAAUUGGUUUUCAGUUUUUACAUGUAAAUAAUCUCCACACCCCCUGCUCCUAUAGAUAGUUGUAAGACAUUACCCUGUUUCAUGGCCAUGUCUCUGCCCAAAUCUUUGGUUCUUGAAGGUGACACCCAUUUUUGCUGCAAUGACUCUGACCAAUUCUGGUUUAAAGCCUGGGCACAAAGGGCAUAUUGCUGCAACCACAUGGCCAGCAGGCAGGCGGAGGUGGCAGCCUGUCCAGACAGGGUGGAGAAAGGCUUGGUAUAUGGAUGUCCUGAGGACCAAUGGAGGCUUGCCCCAUUGACCUUCAUCACUGUGCCCCGCUGACCUUCAUCACUGUGCCCCGCUGACAUUCAUCGCUGUGCCCCGCUGACCUUCAUCACUGUGCCUCACUGACCUUCAUCUCUCCCACUUCCAGAAUCACUGCUCAGAUUCCAGCCAAGCCCUGAGGGGGGUUCUGGAAAACUCUAUUUCAUUCUGGGGCUGAUGAUUUCCUAUAUUGGCAUUGCCAGAUUUAGCAAAUAAAAAUAUAACAAAUAAUUAUUAGUAUAAGUAUAUUCCAAAUAUUGUAUGAGAUAUAGUUUAAAAAUACUGUUUAUCUGAAAUUCAAAGUUAACUGAACCCCCCUAUGAAAGGCCUUUGUCUCCAAAGAUAUUGGCCUGUGACCUUUGCAGAAACAAAGAUCUGCUCACCCAACACUCCUGCUCCUCCCUCAGACUAUUAUAAAUCUAACCACAGGUCCUUAAGAAUACCAACCAAUCAUUCCUUGUGAUGCUAGAGUUGAGAGAUCAAGGUGGUUCAAGCUUUAAAGAGACAGAUGGAAAUUUAAGUCCUGGCUUCAUCAUGCAGCAGUUACACUAUCUGAGGUUCAUUCAUUAAUUUUUUAAGCCCCAAUUUACUCAUCUGUCAAAUGUGGACAAAAAUAUUAUCUACUUCAAAAUGAUACUCCAAGGAGUAGAGAAUGUAUAUGACAUCUUUAGUGCAAUGCCUAGCACAAAGCAAACAAUAAGUUACUCUUACUAAUUUUUAAAGUUGCUAUAGGUGAAACAGAGUUUCAAACACAAAAACAAGUAAGUCAACGGUUACAAAAAUGUUCUCAGAUAUCAUCAUACUUUACCCGAACAACCAUGACAUGUGUUAAUUUUACAUUUUAUAGAUUAAGAUUAAGUACAUUUGCAGAGCAUACUGCAAUUAAAUAGCAAAGUGCUGAGUUUGAACACAAGUAUUUUCAGUCUCAGAUCAGACUCGGGUUAUAAUUUUCUCUUUAUAGUUCAGUGGUCCUGAUCCCUGCCCUCAAGCAGAUUAUUAUUCAACUGGGAGGUGGAAUGAAAUACAAAGUUAUUUCUAAACC